GGAGGCGAUUGCCGUGCUGGUGCCGGUCCCGGACUUCAAAUCCGAUGAGGGGACGAGAGUUCCCUGGCGGGUUCGAUUCCCGUCCGCCUCCGCCA
rnacentral:tRNA from 1 species